GUUCAGCUACGAUGCCGCGAAGGAGCUCGGCGUGCCUUGCGCCGCGUUGUGGACGUCCAGUGCCUGCGGGUUCAUGGGUUACCGCCACUUCCGUCGGCUUAUCGACCGUGGUCUUGUGCCUUUCAAAGACGAGGAGCAGCUGACGGACAAUGGGUAUCUCGAUACGCCGGUCGACGGCAUGAGCGGCAUGUGCGAUGGCAUACGGCUGCGCGACUUCCCGACGAUGAUCCGCACCACCGACCGCGACGACACCAUGCUCAACUACGUCAUGCGCGAGGCCAAGAGGCUGUCGCUCCCCGACGCCGUGCUGCUCAACACCUUCGACGCACUGGAGCAGCCGGUUCUCAACGCCAUGCGCGCCAUCCUCCCGCCCAUGUACACCGUCGGUCCGCUGCAUCUCCACUCCAGCAGCGGCGUCCCCACCGGCACCCCGCUCGACGGCCUCGGCUCCAACCUCUGGAAGGAGCAGGACGGCCUCCUCGAGUGGCUCGACGGGCACGGCGCCGGAGCCGUCGUGUACGUCAACUACGGAAGCGUCGCUGUGAUGACGAACGAGCAGCUCCUAGAGUUCGGGUGGGGGCUGGCCGACAGCGGCUACGCGUUCAUAUGGAACAUCCGGCCGGACCUCGUUAGGGGAGAGACGGCCGUGAUGCCGCCGGAGUUCCUGGCAUCGGUUCACGGCCGCGCCAUGCUCACGACGUGGUGCCCGCAGGCGGAGGUCCUCAGGCACGAGGCGGUGGGGGCGUUCCUGACGCACUCCGGAAUCCGGAUGGAACUCCACGCUCGAUGAUGUGCUGGCCGUUCGCCGGGGAGCAGCAGACCAACUGUCGGUACAAGUACACCGAGUGGGGGAUCGGGAUUGAGAUCGGCGGCGAGGUGAAGCGGGCGGAAGUGGCGGCGAUGAUACGCGAGGCGAUGGUGGGGGGAAAGGGACGGGAGAUGAGGCGGCGCCCCGCGGAGUGGAAGGAAAAGGCCCAGCGUGCGUCGCUGCCAGGUGGGGCCGCGGAGGCCAACCUAGACGAGGUGAUUCGUAGCGUGCUCCUCGCAAGUACAACGCGCCUGCUAAAAAUCAGUCAACUGACAUUUAACUAAGUCUCA
rnacentral:rRNA from 1 species